rnacentral:rRNA from 1 species
CACGCCGUAAACGAUGGAUACUAGCUGUUGGGCGCAAGUUCAGUGGCUAAGCGAAAGUGAUAAGUAUCCCACCUGGGGAGUACGUUCGCAAGAAUGAAACUCAAAGGAAUUGACGGGGGCCCGCACAAGCGGUGGAGCAUGUGGUUUAAUUCGAUGAUACGCGAGGAACCUUACCAAGGCUUAAAUGUAGAUUGACCGGUUUGGAAACAGAUCUUUCGCAAGACAAUUUACAAGGUGC